AAGCUGGCUAGCUGAGAACCCCACAACCACAAUUUCAUCAGGAUGAUGAUGAUACCACUAAGAUGACAAACACCAUCCAAAGGUCAGCUUUGGACUACAAACUGCUCAGGACAAUUUGGAGAUGAUUAGCUGAGAUGAUCCAGUCUCACA